rnacentral:rRNA from 1 species
AACGAACGCUGGCGGCAUGCUAACACAUGCAAGUCGAACGGUGUUCCCGCUUCGGUGGGGGCAUAGUGGCGCACGGGUGAGUAACGCGUGGGAACCUGCCCUGUGGUACGGAACAACUCCGGGAAACUCGAGCUAAUACCGUAUGCGUCCCGAGGGACAAAGAUUGCAUCGCCAUGGGAGGGGCCCGCGUAGGAUUAGCUGGUUGGCGGGGUAACGGCCCACCAAGGCUACGAUCCUUAGCUGGUCUGAGAGGAUGAUCAGCCACACUGGGACUGAGACACGGCCCAGACUCCUACGGGAGGCAGCAGUGGGGAAUAUUGGACAAUGGGCGCAAGCCUGAUCCAGCAAUGCCGCGUGAGUGAUGAGGGCCUUCGGGUUGUAAAGCUCUUUCGCACGCGACGAUGAUGACGGUAGCGUGAGAAGAAGCCCCGGCUAACUUCGUGCCAGCAGCCGCGGUAAUACGUAGGGUGCGAGCGUUGUCCGGAAUUAUUGGGCGUAAAGAGCUUGUAGGCGGUUUGUCGCGUCUGCUGUGAAAAUCCGGGGCUCAACCCCGGACUUGCAGUGGGUACGGGCAGACUAGAGUGUGGUAGGGGAGACUGGAAUUCCUGGUGUAGCGGUGGAAUGCGCAGAUAUCAGGAGGAACACCGAUGGCGAAGGCAGGUCUCUGGGCCACUACUGACGCUGAGAAGCGAAAGCAUGGGGAGCGAACAGGAUUAGAUACCCUGGUAGUCCAUGCCGUAAACGUUGGGAACUAGGUGUGGGUCUCAUUCCACGAGAUCCGUGCCGCAGCUAACGCAUUAAGUUCCCCGCCUGGGGAGUACGGCCGCAAGGCUAAA